AAUCAUAAUUGAACUAUAUAUAACCAAAUGAGAAGAAGUAAUUUACCUGACAAGCAUCUUUCCCUCCUUCAAGUAAACCAGCACAGAUCAUGUUGUCUGUAAUAGAACCUUCACCAUUCAGGCAGGUACACUGUCUGUUUCCCACAACUGGAACCUCCACUUCUUGUAGCGUUUGAGGGAAGGGGAGUGACACUAAACGGUAGAGGGAAAGUCUAUUAGGUGUAGCCAAAGGAAACAUCAUAUUCCAUCACUAGUUAACUACUUUACCUCCUUCCUGGACUGUUCCCCAACCAGUGACCCAGCUAUCAGUACCAUUGAUGAAGUUACUGCUACUGGCUGCCAGACACACAGGUCUGAUGUAUUCUGUGAAAGUGACCGGUGAGGAAAGUCUAAGCAGAGCGAUGUCGUUGUCAAAGCUAAAAGUGUCAAAGUUUGGAUGCAAAAUGAUUGUGUCAACAGUUCUGGACACUUCAUUUGUGUUGUUGCCCUGCAGGUUCUGACGACCAAGAGAAACGGACCAUCCAAAUGUGACCCACCUGAAGAAGCAGUGGGCAGCUGACAUCACCCACUCUUUGUUUAUAAGAGAACCACCACAAACAUGGCUGCCAAGAUCCUGCAAACUGGCCUGCCAAGGCCAACUUCCUUCUUGAGCGUCUUCACCUCCAACUAUCCUCGUGUUCAGUGGAGAGGUGCCACACACUGCAAACAGGACUGGUAGCUGGACACUCUGGCAUAAACUCCCGGCAGAUUAGGUCGAGCACAGCCAACACCAAAACUGACAAUUCCUGAUUGGAUCCAGAUUGAAUCCUGCUGGCUCAUCAUUGGACCUCCUGAGUCGCCCUAACGGUUCUGACGACCAAGAGAAACGGACCAUCCAAAGGUGACCCACCUGAAGAAGCAGUGGGCAGCUGACAUCACCCACUCUUUGUUUAUAAGAGAACCACCACAAACAUGGUUGCCAAGAUCCUGCAAACUGGCCUGCCAAGGCCAACUUCCUUCUUGAGCGUUUUCACCUCCAACUAUCCUCGUGUUCAGUGGAGAGGUGCCACACACUGCAAACAGGUCCCAUUAGAAUCCAAGUUGAUGAACACAAACUGUAUUCAAAAUUAGUCAGGGGCACGGAUGGUAUUUUGCAACAGGGCAGAACAGCUGUUAGCAAUGAUUGAAUGAUGAGGUUUUUUCCAACUCCAGGGCUUAAUCAAUUUUUUUUUUUUAAGUCAGUAGCAGUUUUGUAAAGUACACAUACUUUGUUACUGUACUUAAUGUACAAUUACUUAAUGUAUAAUUUUUUAACAUUUACACUUAUUUUGAAUACUUUCGCUUUUACUCUUCAAAAUGUUUUUAAAAAAAUGACUACCUUUACUGAAAUACAUUUUCAUGAAUUAUCUUUGUAACUCUUUACUCUAAAACAAAAGUUUAUUUUGAGACGUAUUGCCAUCAUUUUGUCAUAUUUAAUGCAAACAAGUAAAGUAAAUCGAUGCAAUGUUCAACUCAGAGCGGCGCACCCAGAAACUGCUAGCAAGUCUGCUGCUAAACUGUAACAUGUCGCAGUGUUGCUCAAAGAAUAACUCAGAAAGUCUUGGUGGUUUGAGCUACACUUU